rnacentral:misc_RNA from 1 species
GGAAAUUACCCGUCAACUGAAAGAAUUAACGAUCAAAUUUCAAUGCGAUCUCACAGUCACAGAAGAACAAAACGAUUAAACGAUCCAUCGUUUUCUCUUCAGUUUAAAUUAAUUAUUUCUCGAUCGAUCAAACAGAGGUUCUGUUGUUCGUGGUGCUAGAUCCUCUAAACCAGCAAUGGCUACAGCUUAAAGCAAUCAUUUACCAAACCCCUAAAAGGGUUUUCAGGGUGUUUUUUGUGUGUAGUACUUGGUCAAUUACAAUAAAAAUGAAAGCAG